rnacentral:tRNA from 1 species
GCCAUUGUAGCUCAGUUGGCCAGAGCGGCUGAUUUGUAAUCAGCGGGUCGGGGGUUCGAAUCCCUCCAAUGGCUCAA